UGAGCUGGACGGAAGUUCCUGGUGCGCCGGUGAAUUCGGCCCGGGUGGAAACUGAUUAGACUUCGUAGUCAAAUUUCCAUCGCAUAAGAGGGUAUCAGGACAUGAGCCCGGAGCAGACAGCUGGCAGACGGACGGACCGCAUCUGCAUCGCCGAUGCCUGUGUGGAGCUGCAGAUGCGCUGUCUGGGUCCUCCGUCUGGAGUGAAGCCUCUCCGUACUAAACCCAGAGGAACCAUGGUCAAACCAGAUAGGUGUGCCUGUUGUGCUCAGGGCUGAGGAGCAGAGCAGCUGAGGGUGGGAGAUGGGCUGCACCUCUGCCAAGCAGGUGUCUGCCGUGCCCAGCGGGGAGGAGCGCCAGAGCAAAGCCCACAGCAACGGGGACCUCCACUCCGAUGAGUACAAGAUGAAAGGAGUGCAGAAAGUCAAGUACAUCAGCGGAGACGAAGGAGGAGUCGACGGCCAGGACAGCACAGUGC